rnacentral:lncRNA from 1 species
GCCUACAUAUUGCCUCAUGAUCUCCAUCAGUUAUCCCAGUCAAGCAACCGCAUUUUUCACUUCUUGUCCAACGUCCAAGGCAUUUCUUUCAUAUCUUUUAGUUGAUUUAACUCUCAGAAAAUCAUCUAUAAAUUAAAAGUCACUUCAUAUAUGAGAAAACAUCAUUUUAAAAAACUCUAUAAUCUAAAAUCCUAAUACAAUGCUAACUUAAGAAUGAGAUUAGUUUCUCUAAGCAAAGUGCAUGGCCCACUCUUAUAUUGUUCAUCUUGCAGGCAGUCAUCAGCUCUAUCGUACAGAUCUUUCCAGCAAUUCUUCUAUAAAAAUCUACCCAGUAUAGGUUCUCCAUCAUCAGCUCUCUUGUAUGGAUGUUCGUAACUUUAUUUCAACUCUCCAAGCAACGUAGGUCUUUAAGAAGUUGUGAGAUUGAUGUCCAACAACAAUGAAAUUGGAAGGAGAUUCUGUAAGUGCGGUGAUAUUCUAAAAUCGUGGAGUCUAUCAGUGUGGUGCUGGUGAAAGGCUGUAGUCUGAUGAAGAGAUUUUCCCAGGGGGUUUUUCUAUAAUUUACUUGUCUGUACAAGCCUAUAGGCAGUAGAUAUUUUUGAGCGAUUAUGCCUGUUUGUAGGUUUAGACCAAAUAUUGUUAUCA